rnacentral:rRNA from 1 species
GACGGGGGGGGGCAAGUGUUCUUCGGAAUGACUGGGCGUAAAGGGCACGUAGGCGGUGAAUCGGGUUGAAAGUGAAAGUCGCCAAAAAGUGGCGGAAUGCUCUCGAAACCAAUUCACUUGAGUGAGACAGAGGAGAGUGGAAUUCCUGGUGUAGCGGGUGAAAUGCGCAGAUAUCAGGAAGAACAACCCGUGGCGAAGGCGGCUGCCUCUGGGGACGGUAACUGGACGCUGAGACGGCGAAAGCGUCGGGGAGCAAACAGG